rnacentral:lncRNA from 1 species
GGUCUCUCCCCAGCAGGGACCGGUCUCUCGCUGCGAACCCGAAAAUCCAGCGUUCGGGAACCGGUCUCUCCCUGCGCGGGACCGGUCUCUCACUGCGAGAACGCGCUCGGGAACCGGUCUCGCCUGCCAGAGACCGGUUGCCUCAGAGCUGCCGCAGCACUGCUCACUGGGGGAACCGGUCUCUCCUUCCAGGGACCGGUCCCCGAGAGUAAAAACUCUCAGGACUUGUCCAAAACUCUCGAGAUCGAACUUUUAGACCGGUAUACCAUCGACGGCCUUCCACCAAGUGUGGAAAAGUUCGGAAUACAUCCAAACACUCGAACCUCGCAAUUUGCAAAGGUCCAGUGUGUUACACAAUGUGAUAGCUCAACUCUCACCUGCUUAGUGCCUCUUUAUGACACUUGAGCUUUACAACGAAUUGAGGUCAAUUCAUGUUCUAUGUUUCAAGUAUGACAUUAUACCGACGUACAUUAUAGCCCGGGGCCCAAUGCCUCUUUAUGACAUUGGCCCAGAAUCUCACAUGGCCUAAGUCCCANGUUCUAUGUUUCAAGUAUGACAUUAUACCGACGUACAUUAUAGCCCGGGGCCCAAUGCCUCUUUAUGACAUUGGCCCAGAAUCUCACAUGGCCUAAGUCCCAAAGCCUCUCUAGGCUUCUAAAAUUCUUAAGGUCACAAUUGGCAUAUAGGUUAAAUGCGUGAAAGCAAGGUUAUUUACAUAAUAGGGAUCAUGGCUCCCAACCAUAACCAGAAUGCUAAGUCUCACAUGCAUGCACUCUACCACAUAGGGGUCCAAAAUUUCACUAUACAUAAUAUAUGUAUGUUAAGCAUUCUAAAAUUCAUAUUAAAUAUAUUUAACAUGAAAAUGUAUGAAUUUCUACUUUACGAAACAUAUUUUGCCAAAUAUGAGCAUUUCUCAUAUCAUAGGCUAGGUCAAACCCACCGAACCGUCGCGUGCUCCUUCGAUUCGUCGAACGGAGUUGUCCACGGGCCUCAAGAUCCCUAAAAGUGAUCAGCGAAGAGAUACGAGAGCAUUACAACCAACCAUAAGAUCAAACAUCAAUCUAGAAGCAAAAAGGGCCAAAAUUCAUCUCAAGAGAAGAAAUCUCUUCUAAAGCUCCAAAAGAGAGUUAGAACCCUUCCAAUCCAAGCCCAAGGAAGGUUCUAAUCCAAUCAAUCUAGCCCCACAAGCCCUAAAUCAAAAAGCCCCAAAAAUCAACCCUAAUACCCAUUCUAGGGUUCCAAAUGGUAAAACCUACCAAAUCAAGGAUCAAAGGGUAGAAUCCAAGUACUAACCUCCCAAGAUGCCUCCAAACAAGCUCCAAAUCUUCUAGGGUUGAAGAUUGGCCCACCACCAAGCUCUACAAGCAAGCUCCAAGCCUUGCAAAGGUGGAAAAGAGAGAAUGGGGUUGAGCUCCAAGCUCCCUCAAGCUAGCUCAUCUUCUUCCUCUCCUCCUUCUUCUUCUUCUUCUCUCUCUAGAAAGUGUAGGGAGAGGGUGAGAAUGAGAAAAUGAGAGAGGGAAGAGGAGGAAAUGGCUAAUAAGCCCAUCUAGUGUAACAAAAUCUGGAGAGGCCCCUCAAAAAUUCAAUAUUGCAUCAGCCCGGUCUGGGCAGUUUUCGCCCAGAGGGACCGGUCUAUCUCCAGCAGGGACCGGUCUCUCGCUGCGAACCCGAAAAACCAACGUUCGGGAAUCGUUCUCUCCCCGCGCAGGACAGGUCUCUCACUGCGAAGACGCGCUCGGGGACCGGUCUCGCCUGCCAGGGACCGGUUGCCUCAGGCUGCCUCAACACUGCUCAUUGGGGGACCGGUCUCUCCUUCCAGGGACCGGUCCCCGACAGUAAAA